GAAAGCAACCAGCUCAACGUGACACAUCACUCCUCGAUGUUUCUGUAUGAAUAAAAGAUGGUUCUACGAGGAACGCAAACCUGCUUCUGGGAGACAGGAGAUGUUCAGAGGACAGGAUCUGAAAAAGGAUACUGAGCAGCAUCAGGGAGAGGCUGCAAAGAGAGGAACGCCGGGCUGAGUCUGGCUGCAUCUCCACCAUCCGACGGAGAACGUCUGACUCCCGAAGACUUCAUGCCGCGGCGUGAGUAGCUGCAGACGCUCUGGAGCACUACGACAGGCUAUGAAUCUGAAGCAAGUGUCAUUUUUGGUGGUUCUGAGGACAAGCCUAACGAGAGCAGACCCAGGAGCAGAUGACAGUCCCUUAUUGAAGACUGCAGGAGAACAAGCAGGAACAGAUGGAGAGUGGCUGGAGGGAAUGGAUGAAGAAGAGGGGGCUUUGUCUGUAGGCCAGAAGGGAGGUGCAAGGCUGAAAGAGGGUCUGGUACACAGGAAUCCAAUCCAAGAGUGAUAUGGAGAGGUACUCACAAAUAACGAGGUUAAUCACUAACGAUGACAUGCCAACUUGUUGCGUACACAAAGUUGUUCUCCAUAUUGGAAUGGUGUAGAUGUCUGUUUACUGCUGUGUUACAGUUGUACAAACAGAUCUGGAAAAACUAGAAUGUAGCUUUUCACUAGUAAGUUAUUGCUGUCAGCUGAUAAAGGAGAACUUAUAGAGAACAUUUGAACAAGAUCUGAGUGAGUUUACUCUCAAUAAUGAACAUUUUGGCUGAUGUGGUAGUAUAUUCAAAGAAUAUGAGUUUGGAAAGAUAAAUUAGGUUCAAACCACCAAGGUAUUUAAAAGAUGUUUCCUCUAGAGGAGAGAAGUCCAAAAAAUUCAGAUUAAGAUUUAUUGUAUUUGUCUGAAAGAGUAUGCAGUAUUAUUUAUUUGCUUAUUUAAUUGUUCUUUUUCAGUUAGAAUGUACAAGGCAUGCAUUCUACUUAAGAAGAACAGGAGUACGAUGAAGACCAAGUCCUAUAAAUCUCUACCCCAUAUUAUUACCAUUGAUACAAAUAAUGACUUAAUUCGUGGAUAGAAUCAAA